CUACAUUCAUAAGACCAAUUUUCAAAGAUAAAGAUUCCAACACAGGAAUAAACAAUUCAUCUAAGUUUUCGUGUUCAAACCUCUGAACAAAUUCUGAUAGAAAUUCCAAAGGUAUACCUUCUGCACCAAUUAAAACCUCGGCCAAAUCAAUUGUCUCCGAAUUGAAUGUGUCAGGAAGCAUUACUACAAUACCGGCAUAACUGACAAGCAAACUUUUUAACAGAGAUAAAUAGUGAA